rnacentral:lncRNA from 1 species
CUUGCCGUCGAGCUUGCAGAUGAGCACCAGGACGAGCCACGCGAUUCGGUCCGAAAUCGACCGGGCGGCGGCAGAAGAGGAGGAGCUCCAAGGACUUCCCUCGAAGGAGAUGGUGGUAGAGGCUGAGGAGGGGGAGGAGUGAGAGGAGGUGGGUGACGUCGCCACAGCUGCCGCUUCGAAGAAGGAAUCCAGCAAGGGGCUCGGGGUCUGCAAGGGGAAGUCCGCGAAGAUGUCGUCGAGGGCGAGCUCGUAGUCGGCGAGGAAGACGAGGUAGUUCAUCACGUAACGGGUGAGUGGGUGGACGUCGCCGCCGGGAACUGGUGACCUGGAGGCGUCCCUCUCGAUAGCCGCCUCGAAGUCGGCCAGGGUCGACCGUGCCACCUCCGCUAGCCUGAGGAGGGAGACGACCGCCUGCGAUCGGACGGCGGCGGUGGACUCGAAGAUGAACAGCGACUCGAUAUCCGGCCAGAGCUCCACCAGGGUGUCGUAGAGAUCCAGUAUACGGAACAGCUUCUCCGGCGAUCUCUUCGAUCUCGCUGCCGACUCCG